UACGGAGGGUGCAAGCGUUAUCCGGAUUCACUGGGUUUAAAGGGUGCGUAGGUGGGCAGGUAAGUCAGUGGUGAAAUCUCCGGGCUUAACUCGGAAACUGCCAUUGAUACUAUCUGUCUUGAAUACCGUGGAGGUUAGCGGAAUAUGUCAUGUGGCGGUGAAAUGCUUAGAUAUGACAUAGAACACCAAUUGCGAAGGCAGCUGGCUACACGAAUAUUGACACUGAUGCACGAAAGCGUGGGGAUCAAACAGGA
rnacentral:rRNA from 1 species